rnacentral:lncRNA from 1 species
AGGUCCCGAGAAUGCAGAAGGAGAGGACGUCAGGAGUGGGUGGAGAAGGAUGAAAAAGAGAUGACGGAGAAGGCGGGGAGACAGAGGAAUGAUGGAAAGCAGUGUGAAGGAAAGGAAAGUAUGCAUAGCAUCGUUAGAGAUAAUCAUGAGAUGCAACUAUACAUACUAUCCGAAGAGCGAGGAGACAGACGAGAAGAGAGGAAUUAGAAGUGCGAGAGGAGGGGAGGAGAAACGAAGGAAAUGUAUGGCGAGGCGUUCAUGAAAGAAUUGGAUCAGAACACGCUUUCGUCAUACAUGGGAGAGAAGAAGAUGUGAAGAUGGAUAAUCG